rnacentral:lncRNA from 1 species
GAACUAAUUUUCACAAGAGGUAACACUUAUUUAUAUUCUAUUUUUGUAUGAUGCUAUGCCAUGAUUGUGCAAGAAUUGAUUUCAAUAUAUUAAAGUUGUUCAGAUUUCGUAUGUGUUUAAUCUGUUAAUAUUCUUUAAUGUUAUAAUAUUUAAAUAUAUGUGAACCUGUUAUAUCCUUAAGUUUAGAAUAACAUUUUUAUAAUAUGAUAAUUAUUCAUUGUAUGUUAAAAAAGGGGUAUGAUAUUUACUUAUUUUUAUUGGGCGUGUGAAUGCUAUAUUCUACUAUUAUAAAAUAGUUGAGGUUUUGAUAAGAUACAUUUCAAAUUUUUGUGUUAAUUGUUCUCCAGUACGUAUGCUUAUUAGUUUGUUUAUGUGGAUUAUUAUGGAUCAUUUUCUGGUAUAAUAAUGAUUAUUAGUAGGUGGUAUAAUUGACAUCAACUCGUAUUAAUUGUAAUUUGACUUAUGUUAUUUUGCUGGGC